GGGUGUGGGGCGAGACCAGAAGGCGAGAGAGCAACGCUUAGUGCUGCGAGUCAGUGUUAAGCGUUGGGUUUUGGCCCGACAGCUAUAUAUGUUCUUUAACAAUUUGGAAGAAGCACAACGU
rnacentral:misc_RNA from 1 species